UACGGAGGGGGGCUAGCGUUGUUCGGAAUUACUGGGCGUAAAGCGCACGUAGGCGGCUUUGUAAGUUAGAGGUGAAAGCCCAGGGCUUAACCCUGGAAUUGCCUUUAAGACUGCAUCGCUAGAAUCGUGGAGAGGUGAGUGGAAUUCCGAGUGUAGAGGUGAAAUUCGUAGAUAUUCGGAAGAACACCAGUGGCGAAGGCGACUCACUGGACACGUAUUGACGCUGAGGUGCGAAAAGCGUGGGGGAGCAAACACGG
rnacentral:rRNA from 1 species